GACGAACGCUGGCGGCGUGCUUAACACAUGCAAGUCGAACGGUGAAGCGCCUUCCUUUUUGGUGGGUGUGGAUGAGUGACGAACGGGUGAGUAACACGUGAGUAACCUGCCCCCUUCUUCUGGAUAACCGCAUGAAAGUGUGACUAAUACGGGAUAUUCUGGGUCUGUCGCAUGAUGGGUCUGGGAAAGAUAUUGUUUCGGUGGGGGAUGGGCUCGCGGCCUAUCAGCUUGUUGGUGGGGUGAUGGCCUACCAAGGCGGUGACGGGUAGCCGGCCUGAGAGGGUGGACGGUCACACUGGGACUGAGACACGGCCCAGACUCCUACGGGAGGCAGCAGUGGGGAAUAUUGCACAAUGGGCGCAAGCCUGAUGCAGCGACGCCGCGUGAGGGAUGGAGGCCUUCGGGUUGUGAACCUCUUUCGCCAGUGAAGCAGGCCUGCCUCGUUUGUGGGUGGGUUGACGGUAGCUGGAUAAGAAGCGCCGGCUAACUACGUG
rnacentral:rRNA from 1 species